rnacentral:rRNA from 1 species
UACGUAGGGGGGCUAGCGUUGUCCGGAAUCAUUGGGCGUAAAGAGCGUGUAGGCGGCCCGGUAAGUCCGCUGUGAAAGUCGGGGGGCUCAACCCUCGAAUGCCGGUGGAUACUGUCGGGCUAGAGUGCGGAAGAGGCGAGUGGAAUUCCUGGUGUAGCGGUGAAAUGCGCAGAUAUCAGGAGGAACACCAAUUGCGAAGGCAGCUCGCUGGGACGUAACUGACGCUGAGACACGAAAGCGUGGGUAGCAAACAGG